rnacentral:misc_RNA from 1 species
ACCCAGCCGCGUUAGGGAUAGCAGCGGAUACCGGCCCGUGACUAAGGCCCGUGCAGUAUGAGCGAAUAGCCCGGCCGAAG